rnacentral:rRNA from 1 species
AUUGAACGCUGGCGGCAGGCCUAACACAUGCAAGUCGAGCGGAUGAGAGGAGCUUGCUUCUCGAUUCAGCGGCGGACGGGUGAGUAAUGCCUAGGAAUCUGCCUGGUAGUGGGGGACAACGUUUCGAAAGGAACGCUAAUACCGCAUACGUCCUACGGGAGAAAGCAGGGGACCUUCGGGCCUUGCGCUAUCAGAUGAGCCUAGGUCGGAUUAGCUAGUUGGUGAGGUAAUGGCUCACCAAGGCGACGAUCCGUAACUGGUCUGAGAGGAUGAGCAGUCAAACUGGAACUGAGACGCGGUCCAGACUCCUACGGGAGGCAGCAGUGGGGAAUAUUGGACAAUGGGCGAAAGCCUGAUCCAGCCAUGCCGCGUGUGUGAAGAAGGUCUUCGGAUUGUAAAGCACUUUAAGUUGGGAGGAAGGGUUGUAGAUUAAUACUCUGCAAUUUUGACGUUACCGACAGAAUAAGCACCGGCUAACUCUGUGCCAGCAGCCGCCGUAACAC